CCACCACAGACAACACCGAGGAGCCGAACCACAGGCUCCACUGGCUGCCCAGGUUGGACAGGAGGGUGACCAUCUGUGAGAGGAGAGGUCAGAGAGACAGGAACCAGGAGGCCACGACUGGAAAGUCCAGGCAGAAGAGAACUGCGGAGCCAGCCCAGGGAAGGACAGAAGUGGAAAAGUCACCACAGACAGGAACAAGCUUCCUGGCACACGACUUCCCUGCCAAACAACUCAACUGUAGUCAAAAGGAAAGAGAUUUGUCUAGUCCUAUACCAGGAUAAGGAGGAGAUUCCAAGGUGCUCCAAACUUUACUGAUUGUGCCCUUGUUCAGUUAAAAAAAAAAUCUUAAACAGGUCCAAUACAUGUA
rnacentral:lncRNA from 1 species